rnacentral:tRNA from 1 species
GCGAGAGUGGCGGAAUUGGCAUACGCACUAGACUUAGGAUCUAGCCCGCUUCGGCGGUUGGGGGUUCGAGUCCCCCCUCUCGCACCA